rnacentral:lncRNA from 1 species
UUUUACAUGUAUCAUAAGGAAAUGAAUCAGGCGAAAAAAAAUCUAAAGAACAUGUAAAAUUUAGUGAAGGAAAAUUUUGGAAAGAAACUUUCUUGGAGUUUUAAUGCCAUUUUCCUUGAGUACAUGCAUCUCGAAACCUCAGGCUGAUAAGAAUGGUCUAUGCUUUUGUUCCUUACACUUCUUUGAUACUGAAACUGUUUAUCCUGGACACUCAAA